AGAACCCACUGACUCAGAAAUAUUCAUGAAAUUUUUUUGGUGAGAAAAAUCCACAGAAGAAGAACUGCCUCCAGAAAAUUGCUGAUAGCAUGUAAUUCUGCUCUGGAGGGGAGGGGACCAUGGCCUUGUGGGCUGUGUGGUCCCUUGAGCUUCUCCCUUUAGUCCAUCUGCAGAUGUCAGCUUCUUUGUCAUGUCACCUUGUCAAGUCAAGCCUGCUCAAAGCUAUGAGGAGAGGAGGGCCAGAUUCAGCACUAGGAUAUGGUCAGGACACAAGGAAUAGAUCCUGAAGAAUAACUGAAGGUCUUGGCUAUCUUGACAAUCAUCUUAGUGAAGAGUCUGGAGGAGGAAGGAAGAAGACAGAAGACUCUGCAUGAGCAGAAGUCAGUGGGACCAAGGCUAGUGACCCAGACCUGAGUGAUACACUUAUUGGAGGGAUGUCAGCAUCCAGGACCUAGCUCAUCUCCAGCUGAAUAAUCACACAUUUGUCAACAAUUCCUGAAAGUCAUGUGAAGUCAAGAAAUCACCCACAAAUUUUUCCAUUCCAGGGAGCUUGGUGCAUUGCUUGUAUCAAGCCGGCAGUUAUGCAUAGUUCCACUGGCAUCAAAGAAGGACCUACCUCCUACCCAUCUUUGACAGCUUGCCAUCCAACAAGCGCCAUCUGCCCAGAGACUUUGCCAUCCACUAAGUGCCAUCUGUGCCCUCAUACUUAUGUGAACAACCCUGCUUUCAGCAGCCCAGGACACUGAUGAUCCCCUCAGAACUAGAAGGCCCUUGGUUGCUUAGAGGGGUAGUAAUGAUGCAGAGGGGAAGUGCUGGUGUAUUUGUGUACACAGACUAGAUACAGUUCAAGAUUUCCGGGCCAGAUCAAUGUUGAAACACCUCACUCACCCUGUCUUACAGAUAUUCCUGCCUCCUGGCAAAUUCAGGCUGAUGGUUGGCCAAAGAGAGGUAUUUUAAAAAUACAUUAACACAUUUCUUUACCCAAGGACCUCAAGCUGUUUAUUGCUUAAGAUGUGUUUCCAAUAACGCUUUGAAUCUUUAAAAAACUUUUUAACCAUUUAAAAAAAUGAGGUAUAUUUGAUUUUCAAUGUUGUGUUAGUUUUAG
rnacentral:lncRNA from 9 species